rnacentral:rRNA from 1 species
CAUAGGUUAAUGAGGCGAACCGGGGGAACUGAAACAUCUAAGUACCCCGAGGAAAAGAAAUCAACCGAGAUUCCCCCAGUAGCGGCGAGCGAACGGGGAGCAGCCCAGAGCCUGAAUCAGUAUGUGUGUUAGUGGAAGCGUCUGGAAAGGCGCGCGAUACAGGGUGACAGCCCCGUACACAAAAAUGCACAUGCUGUGAGCUCGAUGAGUAGGGCGGGACACGUGGUAUCCUGUCUGAAUAUGGGGGGACCAUCCUCCAAGGCUAAAUACUCCUGACUGACCGAUAGUGAACCAGUACCGUGAGGGAAAGGCGAAAAGAACCCCGGCGAGGGGAGUGAAAAAGAACCUGAAACCGUGUACGUACAAGCAGUGGGAGCACGCUUAGGCGUGUGACUGCGUACCUUUUGUAUAAUGGGUCAGCGACUUAUAUUCUGUAGCAAGGUUAACCGAAUAGGGGAGCCGAAGGGAAACCGAGUCUUAACUGGGCGUUAAGUUGCAGGGUAUAGACCCGAAACCCGGUGAUCUAGCCAUGGGCAGGUUGAAGGUUGGGUAACACUAACUGGAGGACCGAACCGACUAAUGUUGAAAAAUUAGCGGAUGACUUGUGGCUGGGGGUGAAAGGCCAAUCAAACCGGGAGAUAGCUGGUUCUCCCCGAAAGCUAUUUAGGUAGCGCCUCGUGAAUUCAUCUCCGGGGGUAGAGCACUGUUUCGGCAAGGGGGUCAUCCCGACUUACCAACCCGAUGCAAACUGCGAAUACCGGAGAAUGUUAUCACGGGAGACACACGGCGGGUGCUAACGUCCGUCGUGAAGAGGGAAACAACCCAGACCGCCAGCUAAGGUCCCAAAGUCAUGGUUAAGUGGGAAACGAUGUGGGAAGGCCCAGACAGCCAGGAUGUUGGCUUAGAAGCAGCCAUCAUUUAAAGAAAGCGUAAUAGCUCACUGGUCGAGUCGGCCUGCGCGGAAGAUGUAACGGGGCUAAACCAUGCACCGAAGCUGCGGCAGCGACGCUGAUGCGUU